CUGAGUUGAAGCAAAUGUUUGUUGAAUUAAGUGGUGAUUUCCUGCUUGUCUUUAAGAAGAAGGAGAAAAGGGAAAGAAAAGUUUUUAUUGGUGGAGUUUGGGUGUUCUGUGAUUAUUCUGUAGCAGUAGUGGGAAACACAAAUGUUGAGUGUGCCAGGUACCUGGUACAGAUCUGGGUACUGGGUACAGACUGCGCCAGGGCCGUGCACAUGCUCACUGUGGUGGAAUGUAGCUGUCAGAGGCGAUGGGCUAGAGAUGAGAGUUCUUUAGAAGGAAGAGAAACGGUCUGGAUGUACUACAGAAGCACAUGUCAGCUUUGCAGGAAGCUAGAGAAUACAUGCAGCAUCUCUUCACCUGAGGAGAAGACUUUUCUACCCUGA
rnacentral:lncRNA from 1 species